rnacentral:rRNA from 1 species
UACGUAGGUGGCAAGCGUUGUCCGGAUUUACUGGGCGUAAAGAGCGCGCAGGCGGUCGUUCAAGUCGCGUGUGAAAGCCCCCGGCUCAACUGGGGAGGGUCACGCGAUACUGAUCGACUCGAAGGCAGGAGAGGGUAGUGGAAUUCCCGGUGUAGUGGUGAAAUGCGUAGAUAUCGGGAGGAACACCAGUGGCGAAGGCGACUACCUGGCCUGUUCUUGACGCUGAGGCACGAAAGCGUGGGUAGCAAACAGG